rnacentral:tRNA from 3 species
GGCCCGUUGGUCAAGUGGUUAAGACACCGCCCUUUCACGGCGGUAACACGGGUUCGAAUCCCGUACGGGCCA